UUGUGUUCAGCUGUGCUGCUGGUCGUCGGUCUACGGGUGGACCUGCCUCUGGCCACCGGUGGUCCCCUCGACUGGUGGAGCAGUGCAUUUGCAAGUGGAGUGCGCUGAGCGGUGCGAGGUAGCGGUUGGAUACCCGUCGUAGAGGCCUCCCCUUCGGGAGAGGAACCUGGGCGUGUGAAAGACUGUUUACCCUGCAUAUAACUCACGACGGCCUACGGGCCUCGUUGCGCUCAUCGCUCAUGCGAGUAACGGUCGCGUGCGACACGUGCUCGUUGGGGUGAUGCAGUGUAGCGGGGUUCACGUCGUGGACGGCUCGGUGUCGAAGUUGGACAUCUCUCCGACCCGUCUUGAAACACGGACCAAGGAGUUUAGCGUAUGCGCGAGUCAUUGGGUGGAAAACCCAUAGGCGCAAUGAAAGUGAAACGGCUCUCGGGCCAACAUGCGACGGUUGCGCACUUGUGUGUGACCAGCAGCAUGACCCCGUCUCGAUCGCUUGCGAUGGGGCGGAGGCAGAGCGUAUGCGCUGAGACCCGAAAGAUGGUGAACUAUUCCUGAGCAGGACGAAGCCAGAGGAAACUCUGGUGGAAGUCCGAAGCGGUUCUGACGUGCAAAUCGAUCGUCUGACUUGGGUAUAGGGGGCGAAAGACUAAUCGAACCAUCUAGUAGCUGU
rnacentral:rRNA from 1 species